CCGCUUGGACUUAAGCAUAUCAAUAAGCGGAGGAAAAGAAACUAACAAGGAUUCCCCCUAGUAACUGCGAGUGAAGCGGGAAAAGCUCAAAUUUAAAAUCUGGUGGUCUCCGGCCAUCCGAGUUGUAAUCUAGAGAAGUGUUACCCGCGUCGGACCGUGUACAAGUCUCCUGGAAUGGAGCGUCAUAGAGGGUGAGAAUCCCGUCUUUGACACGGACCCCCGAGGCUUUGUGGUGCGCUCUCAAAGAGUCGAGUUGUUUGGGAAUGCAGCUCAAAAUGGGUGGUAAAUUCCAUCUAAAGCUAAAUAUUGGCGAGAGACCGAUAGCGAACAAGUACCGUGAGGGAAAGAUGAAAAGAACUUUGGAAAGAGAGUUAAACAGUACGUGAAAUUGCUGAAAGGGAAACGCUUGAAGUCAGUCGCGUCGGCCGGAAAUCAGCCUUGCUCUUGCUUGGUGUACUUUCUGGUUGACGGGCCAGCAUCAGUUUUGACCGGUGGAUAAAGUUGUGAGGAAUGUGGCAUCUUCGGGUGUGUUAUAGCCUCGCUUCGUAUACAUCGGUUGGGACUGAGGAACUCAGCACGCCGAAAGGCCGGGGUUCGCCCACGUUCGUGCUUAGGAUGUUGGCAUAAUGGCUUUAAUCGACCCGUCUUGAAACACGGACCAAGGAGUCUAACAUGCCUGCGAGUGUUUGGGUGGAAAACCCGGACGCGCAAUGAAAGUGAAAGUCGAGAUCCUUGUCAUGGGGAGCAUCGACGCCCGGACCAGAAGUUUACGGACGGCCCUGCGGUAUAGCAUGUAUGUUGGGACCCGAAAGAUGGUGAACUAUGCCUGAAUAGGGUGAAGCCAGAGGAAACUCUGGUGGAGGCUCGUAGCGAUUCUGACGUGCAAAUCGAUCGUCGAAUUUGGGUAUAGGGCGAAAGACUAAUCGA
rnacentral:rRNA from 1 species